GUGAGUAAGCAAACAGGAAAAACUGAUGACGAAUUGACAAUCCAUGUAUUUAUCCACCCAUUUAAAGUAACUUGCUGAGCGCCUACCUAGCUGCACAAGAAGCUCAGGGCCUGAAGAUGAACACGCAGAGGCUGUGUGCAGGGGCAUGAGCUUACAGCUGGAAUUAGAGAUAAAGGAAAAGGCACCUGAGCCCUGUGACAUGCGGGGGGUCAGGGGAGGUGGGACAUAUGUGGCCUCGUAGCCAGAGCCCCGCCUGUUUCCCAGGACAUUCUGAAUACGGGUGAGAGACUGCGCGUUGGACAAUCACUAUGGAUCGCCUGCUGAAGCUAAUAAUGAAUCACCCAUCCCUGAUUAGAAGGUGCUUCCGAAACGUAUAACUGCCAUCCGAGAGAACUUUUUUCUUCAUGUAAAAUGAUAUCACCCUAGAGGAGGAGAAAACGAAUUGUAUUCUUCAACAAGAUGGAACAGGAGGAGGUUGCUUAAGUGAGCUGUGUGCUCUCUUAAAUUAUGGGCUAAUAUUAAACAGCCAAAGAAGUGAAAACUUACAGAUUUUUAGUUUGCUAAAUGAAUGACCUUUCUUGUUCCCUAAUUCUCUUCCUAGAACCAGCUCUGGGUUAGAAAUCCAAGCUGGUUCUUGGAUGCUUUCCUUAUGCCAUCAUUUUAUCUUUUGUUCAGGAAAAAGAAGUUCGGUAGGACCGAGACACAAAUGCCAUGUGGGGAGCAGCCCCUUGCUUCUUACAGCAGAGGUGGGCUGGGGCUGCCUGGCCCUGCGGAGGCCUUGCUGUGCCCCACGAGAGAAUAGGGUAGAGAGACCGGGACUUGGGUAGAGAUGACCGGGAUUCCUCCCCGUCCACCUCCUAGGACUUUUGACAGAGCUUUGGUUGACUGAACUUUCCCAUCUGUGCACUUCCUUGUAAAAUCUAGUUUCAGCAAGAACCCUGCCAAAUCGGUUUAGCCAGAAAUCCUGGCGAGAACUCUAACCUUAACCCUCCAUGUCUGCUCACUCAUAAGAUCUAACCAGGUUCCUUAUCCUAUCACGCCCCCUCCGCCUCAGGUGGAAUCUGACGGCCCUGGCCUCGCUUCAGCAAGAAUCCAGUCCUGUGGGCUUGGGCAUAAUCCCCUUCCCCGUGCGUCCUUUUAGCCAUCUUCCAUCCACCAGUGCCUGCUCCCCUUCCCUGUGCGUACUUUUAGCCAUCUUCUAUCCACCAGUGCCCGCUCCCCUUCCCUGUGCGCCCUUUUAGUCAUCUUCCAACCACCAGUGCGUCCCUUUAGCCAUCUUCCAUCCACCAGUGCCCGCUCCCCUUCCCCCUGCGUCCUUUUAGUCAUCUUCCAUCCACCAGUGCCUGCCCCCACAACUUCUUGGCUGUAAACCUUCGCUUGCUCCUGUAUUCAGAACCGAGCCCAGUUCUGUGCCCAGGUCUUUUUUCCCCUACUGACAUUUUCCUGAAUAAAAUCUGGGUUUUACCUGUGCAACUACUGUCCAGCUCUGGUUUUUCUGUGAUACUCUGCGGUCCCAUUUCUGAACAGAGCUUAUAAAUGGCAGUGGAGUUUCCAGCCCUGCACUCAUAGAAGCUUGUAAAGGGCAGUGGAGUUUCCAGCUCCACACUCAUAGAACCUUGUAAAGGGCAGUGGAGCUUCCAGCCCCGCGCUCAUAG
rnacentral:lncRNA from 1 species